GCAUGCUGGUGUAGUGGUUAGCACUGUUGACUCAGAUUUAUGUUUCUGGGUUCAAUCCCCAGGCCCGAGGCG